AAGUUAAAAAUAUCAAUUAUCUUGAAAAUAAAAAUAAAAAAUUAACUUU
rnacentral:tRNA from 1 species